AGUACUACGACCCGGCUGACGAGCCCGUGGCCGAGGAGCCCUUCACGUUCGAGACAGAGCUGGACGACCUGCCCAAGGAGAAGCUGAAGGAGCUCAUCUUCCACGAGACGGAACAGUUCAAGGCUGGCGGGGGCACGCACUCGGCGCCCGCCGUCAUGUAGAGUCGGCCCGGUGGGGAGCAGUACGUGAGGCCCGGGCGACCGGCAGGGGACGUGCGGCCCGCGCCCGGCCGCCGCGCGGUUCGGACGCCCAG